GGGCCUGUGGUCUAGUGGCUUCAUCACUUGUGGUGCUAUAAAUGACAGCGCCUUUACACGGCGUUGAUCCCCGGUUCGAGUCCGGGCAGGCCCA
rnacentral:tRNA from 1 species